UACGGAGGUGGCGAGCGUUGUCCGAAGUUACUGGGCGUAAAGGGCGCGUAGGCGGCACCGCAAGUCGACUGUGAAAUCUCCGGGCUUAACCCGGAAAGGUCAGCCGAUACUGCGGGGCUAGAGUGCAGAAGGGGCAACUGGAAUUCUCGGUGUAGCGGUGAAAUGCGUAGAUAUCGGGAGGAACACCUAUGGCGAAAGCAGGUUUCUGGGCCAUCACUGACGCUGAGCUGCGAAAGCUAGGGGAGCAAACAGG
rnacentral:rRNA from 1 species